CCACGGUGAAAAGGGUGUUAAAUGAAGACUUAGGGCUUCGGGCAUAUCGAAGAAAAACAGGACAUCGUUUGAUUCUCGUCUAAUGGA
rnacentral:pre_miRNA from 1 species